AAUUUUGGACAAUGGGGGGAACCCUGAUCCGGCCAUCCCGCGUGUGUGAUGAAGGCCUUCGGGUUGUAAAGCACUUUUGACAGGGGAGAAACAGCACUGGUUAAUACCCAGUGCAAAUGACGGUACCUGCAGAAUAAGCACCGGCUAACUACGUCCCAGCAGCCGCGGUAAUACGUAGGGUGCAAGCGUUAAUCGGAAUUACUGGGCGUAAAGCGUGCGCAGGCGGAUUGGCAAGAAGGAUGUGAAAUCCCAGGGCUUAACCUUGGAACUGCAUUCUUAACUGCCAGGCUAGAGUAUGUCAGAGGGGGGUAGAAUUCCGCGUGUAGCAGUGAAAUGCGUAGAGAUGCGGAGGAAUACCGAUGGCGAAGGCAGCCCCCUGGGAUAAUACUGACGCUCAUGCACGAAAGCGUGGGGAGCAAACAG
rnacentral:rRNA from 1 species